GGAUGUGGCAAGAAUGGGAGGAAAAGAAGUGGAGGCAGUGAUUACAAGUGGUUCUUCUAAGACUAUCUGUGGAAGGGUCAGAGAAAUAAGAGAGUGAAGAUAAAGGAUUGGAACUUAGGUACUACUGGAUAUAAUCCAGAGGAGAUAGAAUCUUACAAUGCAAAGGAAAGAGAGGGGUAAGUUUAUUGCAGGUGCAAAUUCCUUGAGAAUGUGGGAGGGAUGGACUCUGACUAGAGUCACAACAUGCCACCCACCAGAACAGGAAGAAUGAAGAAUAGGGGCAACACAGUGGAACUGAGAGAUUGGAGGUGGAGAAACUGGGAGUUCCAGUCAACAAAUGCAAGUUAAAGUCAUUGCCAAGAGUAGAGGCAGGGAUGGAAGUCUUGGAAUUGGGAGGAAAGGCCAAGUCUGAAGUGGUCAUUCAUAAUAAAGUCGGCAAGGUUAGUGGCCUUUAGUGACUCUUGGCAUAAAAUUAAAAUCCUCUUUGUCUCCACCAGGUUCUCAGGUCUUAAAGAAGCAUUGCUGUGUCUGGGUAAAUUGGCUUUUCUAUGGAUGGUUUUUCUGAUUUGCUUUUCUGAUUUUGGCUACAGAUAAUAGUUGCAUCUUGGAAUCAUCUUAAGCUGCAUGUACUCAAGAGCCUGUUAUAGCUCAGAAGGUCAACUGUUCCUGGUGUACCCCAGUUUGGCUAUAGGCUGGACAUGAAAGAACCAAGGGCUUCUGAUUCCACCAUCCUCUGCCAAGGACAACACUGGCCAGUGGAAAUGAAGUAUUUGCUGACCCACGAGCUUAGGCAACAUGGAGCUUUCACUAGGAAGGAAGGAAGCUCCAAGGCAAGCAAGGAUGGUGGAGAGAAGCCUUGGCUCCUCUCUCCCAGGAUGCACUCAGGACACAGCAGGUUCAAAUCUAUUUGUGUGCUAGGAAUUCAGCUUAGGAAACAUUGUUUCCUUCUUUCUUUAUUAGGUUGCUACCCCAAGUGACUUGUUUGGGUCUCUAGAAAAGUGUUCUUAGACAUGUGACAUCACUCGACAAUGGGAACUUCUGUUCAGAUGUUUGUAUAAUAGUUUCAGUCAUCGUAUCAUAUCUACACGUGUCAGUGCUUUUAGCGGUGUAGGGGAUGCAGGGAGGAGUCCUAGAGUGGUGAAAGUGGGGACUUCAGAGAUCUGAGGAUCAUCUUCCCCAGUGGCACACAUGGUAUCUUUGGCUGCUCUCUCUUCAAUGCUCACCACUGUCCUCUUAGAGCACAGACUGUUGCCUCUCCUGGACCUUCUCCCUUGGCUGCCUCUGACUUGUCCCCAUCCCAAACUCAUCCCUCAACCCCCAACCUCUACUAUCUUCCCACCCCCACUCCUCUACCCUCUGGUCUGGGUUAGAUACCUCUGUUCUGUACUCCUGUUGUCCCCACCCAUCAGAGUGUGUAUCAUGCAUGAAACUGCCUGAGUUGAGAAUCUGCCCAUUCAACUUGAAGCUCUUUGAAAGAAGAGACCAACUUGUAUUGUACUCCAUACCUUCAUCCACACAGAUGCUUCAUACAGAGAAUGUACUCA
rnacentral:lncRNA from 12 species